rnacentral:lncRNA from 1 species
GGCUGGGCGCGAGCUGCCGCCGCCGCCGCCCUAGGUUUUGGGCUCCUUCCUGCCGCGGCUUUGCGCGGCUCUGUCUGCCCCGCUUCAUCUACCUCUUCGCUGCCGAAGGUGCCCGAAACGGAGGAGGCGCGCAGCCCGGCUCCCCGGGAGCCCUCGUCCUCAAUCCUCCUACCUAGGCUGCCGAGGCCGGCCGCGCAGCCCGAGUCCCCGCGGCAGGCCCGGCCCUCCGCCUCCGCCUCCCCCUCCCCCUGGGUUGGUUCUGCCCAGCUGCGGAGGUUGGGCCAGGGGCUGGGGUGCGAGGCGAGUCGGCGCCCGCAGCGCGGAGCCGGGAAGUCGCCGCCACUCUGCUGGGACGCGGAGUUGGCUCCGAGGCGGCGCGCGCGCACGGAGGUCGCGCCGCGGAGCCAGCGAGAGGCGCCAACAAAAGCGGCGAGGCGGUGCCACCCCGGACCGCGGCAGGUAGAGGAGCCGGAGGAGGAGCGCGAGCCCACCGUCCCGAGCCGCCGUGCGUACUUUCUGGAGGGCAGGGCAGCGCGGGGGACUCGGCCCCGGGAGGGGGGACGCCCGCGGCGCGGGGGUGAGCCAAGUUCCGGCGGCGGCGGCGGCGGCGGCGGCUCUCCUCCGCUCCCACGAGAGGAAAGUUUCUGCAGACGCUUCCGGCCAGCCCGCGCCCUCCGGCCCAGCCUCCCGAGCCUUCGGAGCGGGCGUCGUCCCAGCCCAGCUCCGGGGAGAGCGAGCCGCGAUGCCUGGGGCGUGCUCCCGGGGCCCCGCCGCCGGGGACGGGCGGCUGCGGCUCGCGCGCCUGGCGCUGGUCCUCUUGGGCUGGGUCUCCUCGCCCUCUCCCACCUCCUCGGCGUCCUCCUCCACCUCCUCGGCGUCGUCCCUGGCCUCCGAGGUGUCUGCU